GGGGAUGUAGCUCAGCUGGGAGAGCACCACGUUCGCAACGUGGGGGUCGUGGGUUCGAAUCCCAUCAUCUCCACCA
rnacentral:tRNA from 3 species